UUUUUAUUAUAUAUAGGGUAAUAUAGUUAGUUUAUUUGGUUAGAUUAUUAGGCUAAUUAGGUUAGUUAGUUAGGUUAGAAGAAAAAAAGAGGAAAAGCAGAAGGAAAAGAAAUGAAAAAUAAAAAAGGAAAAGAAGAAAAUAAUUAGAAGAAGAACGAAAAGAAGAAGGAGGAGAAGAAGAAGAAGAAGAAGAGGAGGAGGAGGAGAAAAAAGAAGAAGAAGAANNNNNNNNNNNNGAAGAAGAAGAAGAAGAAUAAGAGGAGGAGGAGGAGGAGGAGGAGGAAGAGGAGGAG
rnacentral:lncRNA from 1 species